GCCGCCGCAGCUCCGGUGCUCGGAGUGUGCGGAGUCGUGUCCACAGGGCCGGCUUCAGGGGCGCCAGCACCGCCUGGCACACCGCCGUCUCCAGCGCGGGGCCUGCGGGGUGUGGGGGACGGGUGAUCCUGGAGGUCAGUAAGGAGGUGCCGCACAUCCUGAAGCAGCUCCGUGGCCGGGUCCCCAGACCCGUGGGGACCCCCAGAAUCUGAGGCGAUGCGCACCCGAAGGCUUCGGUACUGCCUGGCCACGUAGCUGCUCCGGGCCCUGACCAGAGACUGGACGUGAAUGGGUUUCCCUCUGUUGCCAAGGCUGGAGGGCAGUGGUGUGAUCUUGGCUCACUGCAACCUCUGCCUCCUGGGUUCAAGCUAUUCUCGUGCCUCGGCCUGCCAAGUAGCUGGGAUUACAGUCGCGCGUCACCAAGCCCGGCUAAUUUUUGUAUUUUUUGUAGAGACGGGGUUUUGCCAUGUUGGCCAGGCUGGUCUCAAAAUCCUGGCCUCAAGC
rnacentral:lncRNA from 10 species